rnacentral:rRNA from 1 species
GAUGAACGCUGGCGGCGUGCCUAACACAUGCAAGUCGAGCGGAGGAUUGUUGCUUGCAACAAUUCUUAGCGGCGGACGGGUGAGUAACACGUGGGUAACCUGCCCUAAACAAAGGGAUAACAAUGAGAAAUCAUUGCUAAUACCGUAUAAGCUUACACUAUCGCAUGAUAGAGUAAGAAAAGAUUUAUCGGUUUAGGAGGGGCCCGCGUCUGAUUAGCUAGUUGGAGAGGUAACGGCUCACCAAGGCGACGAUCAGUAGCCGACCUGAGAGGGUGAUCGGCCACAUUGGGACUGAGACACGGCCCAAACUCCUACGGGAGGCAGCAGUGGGGAAUAUUGCACAAUGGAGGAAACUCUGAUGCAGCAACGCCGCGUGAAGGAAGAAGGUUUUCGGAUCGUAAACUUCUAUCUACAGGGAAGAAAAAAAUGACGGUACCUGAGGAAGAAGCCCCGGCUAACUACGUG